rnacentral:rRNA from 1 species
GACGAACGCUGGCGGCGUGCUUAACACAUGCAAGUCGAACGGAAAGGCCCUGCUUUUGUGGGGUGCUCGAGUGGCGAACGGGUGUGUAACACGUGAGUAACCUGCCCUUGACUUUGGGAUAACUUCAGGAAACUGGGGCUAAUACCGGAUAGGAGUUCCUGCUGCAUGGUGGGGGUUGGAAAGUUUCGGCGGUUGGGGAUGGACUCGCGGCUUAUCAGCUUGUUGGUGGGGUAGUGGCUUACCAAGGCUUUGACGGGUAGCCGGCCUGAGAGGGUGACCGGCCACAUUGGGACUGAGAUACGGCCCAGACUCCUACGGGAGGCAGCAGUGGGGAAUAUUGCACAAUGGGCGGAAGCCUGAUGCAGCAACGCCGCGUGCGGGAUGACGGCCUUCGGGUUGUAAACCGCUUUCGCCUGUGACGAAGCGUGAGUGACGGUAAUGGGUAAAGAAGCACCGGCUAACUACGUG